AUAUUCAGAAAGUUUUUUUGCUUACCAUUCUUCUUCUUCUUUCUCGAUUCAUCUUCACUUCUCCAACAUAAUAUUGUUAGAAAAAUUAUUUUCUAAUUGAUUAGCCUGCACAUCCAAAACCCAUUAUAUGGACCAUUAGUUUCGUAUGGGCUAUCUACUAGUGAUCAUGUCAUGAAGCGCAUGACUACUCAAAUUUUAAUAUAAAC
rnacentral:lncRNA from 1 species